GCUUGCUUGUUGGGGUUGUAGGACACUCUAUACGGAGUUACAAAGGACGACAUUAGACGAAUCAUCUGGAAAGAUGAAUCAAAGAAGGUAAUAAUCCUGUAGUCGAAAAUGUUGUCUCUCUUGAGUGGAUCCUGAGUACGACGGAGCACGUGAAAUUCCGUCGGAAUCUGGGAGGACCAUCUCCUAAGGCUAAAUACUCUCUAGUGACCGAUAGUGAACCAGUACCGUGAGGGAAAGGUGAAAAGCACCCCGGAAGGGGAGUGAAAUAGAACCUGAAACCGUGUGCUUACAAGUAGUCAGAGCCCGUUAAUGGGUGAUGGCGUGCCUUUUGUAGAAUGAACCGGCGAGUUACGAUUUGAUGCAAGGUUAAGCAGUAAAUGUGGAGCCGUAGCGAAAGCGAGUCUGAAUAGGGCGUUUAGUAUUUGGUCGUAGACCCGAAACCAGGUGAUCUACCCUUGGUCAGGUUGAAGUUCAGGUAACACUGAAUGGAGGACCGAACCGACUUACGUUGAAAAGUGAGCGGAUG
rnacentral:rRNA from 1 species